UACAGAGGGUGCAAGCGUUGCUCGGAAUCAUUGGGCGUAAAGCGCGUGUAGGCGGUCUUCUAAGUCUGGUGUGAAAGCCCAGGGCUUAACCCUGGAAGUGCACUGGAUACUGGAAGACUAGAGGGCGAGAGGGGAGAUUGGAAUUCCUGGUGUAGGGGUGAAAUCCGUAGAUAUCAGGAGGAACAUCGGUGGCGAAGGCGAAUCUCUGGCUCGUUUCUGACGCUGAGACGCGAAAGCGUGGGGAGCAAACAGG
rnacentral:rRNA from 1 species